rnacentral:rRNA from 1 species
UACAGAGGUCUCAAGCGUUGUUCGGAUUCAUUGGGCGUAAAGGGUGCGUAGGCGGCGCGGUAAGUCGGGUGUGAAAUCUUGGAGCUUAACUCCGAAACUGCAUUCGAUACUGCCGUGCUUGAGGACUGGAGAGGAGACUGGAAUUUACGGUGUAGCGGUGAAAUGCGUAGAUAUCGUAAGGAAGACCAGUGGCGAAGGCGGGUCUCUGGACAGUUCCUGACGCUGAGGCGCGAAGGCUAGGGGGAGCAAACGGG